rnacentral:rRNA from 1 species
UUCCAGACUCCUACGGGAGGCAGCAGUGGGGGAUAUUGCACAAUGGGGGAAACCCUGAUGCAGCGACGCCGCGUGAGUGAAGAAGUAUUUCGGUAUGUAAAGCUCUAUCAGCAGGGAAGAAAGAAGACGGUACCUGAGUAAGAAGCCCCGGCUAACUACGUGCCAGCAGCCGCGGUAAUACGUAGGGGGCAAGCGUUAUCCGGAUUUACUGGGUGUAAAGGGGGCGCAGACGGCAGCGCAAGCCAGGAGUGAAAGCCCGGGGCCCAACCCCGGGACUGCUCUUGGAACUGCGCGGCUGGAGUGCAGGAGGGGCAGGCGGAAUUCCUGGUGUAGCGGUGAAAUGCGUAGAUAUCAGGAGGAGCACCGGUGGCGAAGGCGGCCUGCUGGACUGCGACUGACGUUGAGGCCCGAAAGCGUGGGGGGCAAACAGGAUUAGAUACCCUAGUAA